UACAGGGGGUGCAAACGUUGUUCGGAAUUACUGGGCGUAAAGGUCGCGUAGGCGGCCUUCUAAGUCGAACGUGAAAUCCCCGGGCUCAACCCGGGAACUGCGUCCGAUACUGGAAGGCUUGAAUCCGGGAGAGGGAUGCGGAAUUCCAGGUGUAGCGGUGAAAUGCGUAGAUAUCUGGAGGAACACCGGUGGCGAAGGCGGCAUCCUGGACCGGUAUUGACGCUGAGGCGCGAAAGCCAGGGGAGCAAACGGG
rnacentral:rRNA from 1 species